rnacentral:rRNA from 1 species
AGAAUCAACGCUGGCGGCGUGCCUAACACAUGCAAGUCGAACGAGAAAGUGGGAGCAAUCCCACGAGUAAAGUGGCGCACGGGUGAGUAACACGUGACUAACCUACCCUUGAGUGGGGGAUAACCUAGGGAAACCUGGGCUAAUACCGCAUAAUACCUACGGGUCAAAGGAGCAAUUCGCUUUAGGAGGGGGUCGCGGCAGAUUAGUUAGUUGGCGGGGUAAUGGCCCACCAAGACAGUGAUCUGUAUCCGGCCUGAGAGGGCGCACGGACACACUGGAACUGAAACACGGUCCAGACUCCUACGGGAGGCAGCAGUGGGGAAUUUUGCGCAAUGGGGGAAACCCUGACGCAGCAACGCCGCGUGGAGGAUGAAGCCCCUUGGGGCGUAAACGUCCUUUCGAUCGGAAGAUAAUGACGGUACCGGAAGAAGAAGCCCGGCUAACUUCGUGCCAGCAGCCGC